rfam:Alligator mississippiensis ScZkoYb_113.1, whole genome shotgun sequence.
CCAGAACUUUAAUGUGGAUGUACUUGCUUUGUUUCUGAAAAAGUAAGUGCUUCCAUGUUUUGGUGCUGG